rnacentral:SRP_RNA from 1 species
GCUGGAUGUGGUGUGUGCCUGUAGUCCCAGCUACUCGGGAGGCUGAGGCAGGAGGAUCACUUAAUGAACUCCUGAACGGAGUUCUGGGCUGUAGUGUGCUGUGCUGAUUGGGUCUGCAAUCAGCAGAUUGCAGUGUCUGCACUAAGUUUGAUAUCAAUAAGGUGACCUCCCAGGAGCCGGGGACCACCAGGUUGCCCAAGGAGGGGUGAAUCAGCCCAGAUCCAAAAUGGAGCAGGUCAGAACUCCCGUGCUGAUCAGUGGGACUGCACCUGUGAAUAGCCACUGCACUCCAGCCUGGGCAGCAUAGUGAGUUUCU